AGAGUUUGAUCAUGGCUCAGGACGAACGCUGGCGGCGUGCCUAAUACAUGCAAGUAGAACGCUGAAGAGAGGAGCUUGCUCUUCUUGGAUGAGUUGCGAACGGGUGAGUAACGCGUAGGUAACCUGCCUUGUAGCGGGGGAUAACUAUUGGAAACGAUAGCUAAUACCGCAUAACAAUGGAUGACCCAUGUCAUUUAUUUGAAAGGGGCAAAUGCUCCACUACAAGAUGGACCUGCGUUGUAUUAGCUAGUAGGUGAGGUAACGGCUCACCUAGGCGACGAUACAUAGCCGACCUGAGAGGGUGAUCGGCCACACUGGGACUGAGACACGGCCCAGACUCCUACGGGAGGCAGCAGUAGGGAAUCUUCGGCAAUGGGGGCAACCCUGACCGAGCAACGCCGCGUGAGUGAAGAAGGUUUUCGGAUCGUAAAGCUCUGUUGUAAGUCAAGAACGAGUGUGAGAGUGGAAAGUUCACACUGUGACGGUAGCUUACCAGAAAGGGACGGCUAACUACGUGCCAGCAGCCGCGGUAAUACGUAGGUCCCGAGCGUUGUCCGGAUUUAUUGGGCGUAAAGCGAGCGCAGGCGGUUUGAUAAGUCUGAAGUUAAAGGCUGUGGCUCAACCAUAGUUCGCUUUGGAAACUGUCAAACUUGAGUGCAGAAGGGGAGAGUGGAAUUCCAUGUGUAGCGGUGAAAUGCGUAGAUAUAUGGAGGAACACCGGUGGCGAAAGCGGCUCUCUGGUCUGUAACUGACGCUGAGGCUCGAAAGCGUGGGGAGCGAACAGGAUUAGAUACCCUGGUAGUCCACGCCGUAAACGAUGAGUGCUAGGUGUUGGAUCCUUUCCGGGAUUCAGUGCCGCAGCUAACGCAUUAAGCACUCUGCCUGGGGAGUACGACCGCAAGGUUGAAACUCAAAGGAAUUGACGGGGGCCCGCACAAGCGGUGGAGCAUGUGGUUUAAUUCGAAGCAACGCGAAGAACCUUACCAGGUCUUGACAUCCCGAUGCUAUUUCUAGAGAUAGAAAGUUACUUCGGUACAUCGGUGACAGGUGGUGCAUGGUUGUCGUCAGCUCGUGUCGUGAGAUGUUGGGUUAAGUCCCGCAACGAGCGCAACCCCUAUUGUUAGUUGCCAUCAUUCAGUUGGGCACUCUAGCGAGACUGCCGGUAAUAAACCGGAGGAAGGUGGGGAUGACGUCAAAUCAUCAUGCCCCUUAUGACCUGGGCUACACACGUGCUACAAUGGUUGGUACAACGAGUUGCGAGUCGGUGACGGCAAGCUAAUCUCUUAAAGCCAAUCUCAGUUCGGAUUGUAGGCUGCAACUCGCCUACAUGAAGUCGGAAUCGCUAGUAAUCGCGGAUCAGCACGCCGCGGUGAAUACGUUCCCGGGCCUUGUACACACCGCCCGUCACACCACGAGAGUUUGUAACACCCGAAGUCGGUGAGGUAACCUUUUGGAGCCAGCCGCCUAAGGUGGGAUAGAUGAUUGGGGUGAAGUCGUAACAAGGUA
rnacentral:rRNA from 1 species